rnacentral:rRNA from 1 species
AUUGAACGCUGGCGGCAGGCCUAACACAUGCAAGUCGAACGGGUGGCGGACGGGUUAGUAAUGUCUGUGCAACGUCGCGAUGGAGGGGUAUAGCUACUGGAAACGGUAGCCGAUACCGCACACCAUCGGCUAUACCCGAAUGGGAUUAGCUUGGGGUAGGGGUAACGGCUGACCUAGGCGACGAUCCCUAGCUGGUCUGAGAGGAGGACCAGCCACACUGGAACUGAGACACGGUCCAGACUCCUACGGGAGGCAGCAGUGGGGAAUAUUGCACAAUGGGCGCAAGCCUGAUGCAGCCAUGCCGCGUGUAUGAAGAAGGCCUUCGGGUUGUAAAGUACUUUCAGCGAGGAGGCGUUACUCGCAGAAGAAGCACCGGCUAACUCCGUGCCAGCAGCCGCGGUAAUAC